rnacentral:rRNA from 1 species
CCCUUAGAUGUCCUGGGCCGCACGCGCGCUACACUGAUGCAUUCAACGAGCUUUACCUUGGCCGAGAGGCCUGGGCAAUCUUUUAAACCUGCAUCGUGAUAGGGAUAGAUUAUUGCAAUUAUUAAUCUUGAACGAGGAAUUCCUAGUAAACGCAAAUCAUCAAUUUGCAUUGAUUACGUCCCUGCCCUUUGUACACACCGCCCGUCGCACCUACCGAUUGAAUGGUCCGGUGAAGCCUCGGGAUUGUGGCCAGUUCACUUUAUUGGGAGUUGGCUGUGAGAACUUGUCUAAACCUUAUCAUCUAGAGGAAGGUGAAGUCGUAACA